AUCAAUGGGAAGGCAUUCCUUGGUUUCAACCCUUGAUUUCAACUUUAGCAAUAGUAGGGGUUAGGUGGUAACCUGAACUUGGAAACCUCAACAUGACAUUCUGUGACUUCUUUUGAUUUCAACUUCGGAACACCAAUGUUCUAUAUUGAAAUCACUUAUGCGGGUAUGCCAUCAAGUUACUCGGGUGGGCAAUCUGCAAGUAAUAUUGGUUUUAACAUAGGGUUGAUGAGAACGAAUAAUGUAUUCCUUACAACCUGUAUCAGUGAAGAGGCAUGCAAUUGGGGUUGAUAACGAAAAGGAAACUGGGAAUGAAGAGGGAGCUGAAAAUGAAGAGGAACCUGAAACUGAUGAUGGUCAAAUUCAAGAGUCUGGGCCAGAUGAUUUGGAAAUUGCAUUAUUUUCUAAUCCAAUCUAGGCUGCAGAUGGUCGACGUAGAAGCCGAUGGCAUCGUAUGCACCAUAGGUAAGUUAUACGUCAUAUCAGGUCAAAUUACAUGGGCCAAUUUCACAAGGAUGAUAAACGACAAUAUGUUAUUAACAUGGGGUAUGAGCUUGUCCAACAUCGAUUCCGUGAAAUGUUGGAGAAUUUGUGAGCUAUAAAUAAAUACGGUGCUAAAUACCUUAAUGGGAUACCCAAGGGAUAAUGGACUCAAUCAUAUGAUGGAGGUCUACAAUACGGACACAUGACAACGAAGCUAGUGGAAUACAUAAAUUUUGUAUUGAAGGGGACGCGUCAUUUGCCGAUAACGUCAGUGGUCAAAGAAGCAUAUUUACGCAACAAUUUGCAAAUUUCCUUAUUUUUGGCCGAAUUUAAAAGGAAAUGGAAGAGAGAUGAAUGGCUCAAACUCGAGUCUAAAAAAGUAUUAAUGCCUUAACCAUUGGGAUCUUGCCAAUUUCUUAGUAAAUUUUAUCCCCAAUUGUUUGUAUGUUGUGUUAUGCUAAAAUUUCAAAAUUAAAAAAGAAUAAGGGACUUGAACUUUGGUAAGUAAGGGGCAGAGUGACAUGUUAACCAUUGGGCUGCUACCCAUUCUUAUUUAAUUUCUAUUCCAAAUAAUUAUUUAUUUUGGUUAGUUUUUAUCUUAGGUUGCUAAAAAUUAAAAGGAAAAAAAUAGGCAAAGUGAUGUUUAAACCUAAACUCUUUAAAGAUGAAAUCUAACACUUAACCAUUAUGUCUUAGGCCUAUUUCUUGUUUAUUUUAGUCACUUAAUUGUAUAUAUUUAUUUCAAGCUCAACUUAUAUAUUCUUUUUAGCUUACACAUUUAUUUAAUUUUUAUUAACUUGUUUAACUUGAGUUUUUAACACAUUCCUAAUUUAAUUUAUAUACAAUAA